rnacentral:lncRNA from 1 species
CAACAGCAGAGCCUGCCAUUCUCCUGGAACAGACGGGAGGAUUUGCAGUUGGGGCCACGCUUAGUUCCAUCUUGGGAGGGAGAGCUGCCAAGUCAAGACGGUUGCCAUUCUUGGUGGAGCAAGAAGCGAAUGUGAACUGGUGUGUCAGCACUCUCAGGCUGUUCCUGCAUUGCUUCCUCGCAUGACGCUGAAGUACUAGGUGAAUUCCAUAAAAACUUUCCUUGCUAAUGCCUAUUUUUGGCAGGAAGCUU